CACACACACACCACCAUGACAUGUUGAAUUCAAGAAAGAUAGGGCUGUCCACUUAUGAAAAAUUAGGGUAGAUUUUUUGCAAAAUUUUAUAAGAGAAUUGGAAAAUAGAGUUUUGUAUUCACAUAUAUCAAUUUUCCAAAUGGAGAAUAUGAAAACUAGGUUUCCAUUUUUCCAAUAUUUGACUAGGAUUUAGAAACAAUUUCAAGGCAUACUUGGCCUUCAUUGUAGGUAUCAAAUGGAUAUAACUAUAAGCUAACCUUGCUCAGGGCCAGUUUAGAACCAUAACGGGUAAAAAAUGGAUUGAUCAAAAUCAGUUCUGAACCGGAUUGAACUGGCUGGUUUGGUUCUGGGCCAAAUCCUGAUUUUCUUGUUUAAAAAAAAAUUAAAAAAAUUUUCAACCAUUGGAUUUGAUCAAAUUGGAACCAUGGGGAACCAUGGUUCCGGUUCCAAUCCCCUUUGAACUGGAGCAGCCAGUUCUGGGCUAGCUUUGCCCAAUUCAGCCCAUUGGCCACCCCUACAAUAAGCCACACAGGCACCAUAAGAACAUUAUUUUAAUGGCAUUAGAAAAGAAUGGUAUUUGGUAACAUGUGCAAAUCACAAGAACUAGAUUGACACAAGUAAAAAAAAAAACCUAAAUUGAAAGGAUGUCAGACUACAAGGAAAA
rnacentral:misc_RNA from 1 species